GCAGCAGCCGCGGGAAUACGUAUGUCACGAGCGUUAUCCGGAUUUAUUGGGCGUAAAGCGCGUCUAGGUGGUUAUAUAAGUCUGAUGUGAAAAUGCAGGGCUCAACUCUGUAUUGCGUUGGAAACUGUAUAACUAGAGUACUGGAGAGGUAAGCGGAACUACAAGUGUAGAGGUGAAAUUCGUAGAUAUUUGUAGGAAUGCCGAUGGGGAAGCCAGCUUACUGGACAGAUACUGACGCUGAAGCGCGAAAGCGUGGGUAGCAAACAGGAUUAGAUACCCCCGUAGUCCCUGUCUCUUAUACA
rnacentral:rRNA from 1 species